rnacentral:rRNA from 1 species
GACGAACGCUGGCGGCGUGCUUAACACAUGCAAGUCGAACGAAGAGCGAUGGAAGCUUGCUUCUAUCAAUCUUAGUGGCGAACGGGUGAGUAACGCGUAAUCAACCUGCCCUUCAGAGGGGGACAACAGUUGGAAACGACUGCUAAUACCGCAUACGAUCUAAUCUCGGCAUCGAGGAUAGAUGAAAGGUGGCCUCUACAUGUAAGCUAUCACUGAAGGAGGGGAUUGCGUCUGAUUAGCUAGUUGGGGGGGUAACGGCCCACCAAGGCGAUGAUCAGUAGCCGGUCUGAGAGGAUGAACGGCCACAUUGGGACUGAGACACGGCCCAGACUCCUACGGGAGGCAGCAGUGGGGAAUCUUCCGCAAUGGACGAAAGUCUGACGGAGCAACGCCGCGUGAGUGAUGACGGCCUUCGGGUUGUAAAGCUCUGUUAAUCGGGACGAAAGGCCUUCUUGCGAACAGUUAGAAGGAUUGACGGUACCGGAAUAGAAAGCCACGGCUAACUACGUG